rnacentral:rRNA from 1 species
GACGAACGCUGGCGGCGCGCUUAACACAUGCAAGUCGAGCGAGAACCAGUCCUUCGGGACUGGGGAAAGCGGCGAACGGGUGAGUAACACGUGGGUAAUCUGCCCUCGGCACUGGGAUAGCCCGGGGAAACCCGGAUUAAUACCGGAUAGCCUUUCGAGCCUUCGGGCUCGUCAGAAAAGGUGGCUUCGGCUUCCGGCUGAGGAUGAGCCCGCGGCGGAUUAGCUUGUUGGUGGGGUAAUGGCCCACCAAGGCGACGAUCCGUAGCUGGUCUGCGAGGACGAUCAGCCACACUGGGACUGAGACACGGCCCAGACUCCUACGGGAGGCAGCAGUGGGGAAUCUUGCGCAAUGGGCGAAAGCCUGACGCAGCGACGCCGCGUGCGGGAAGAAGGCCUUCGGGUUGUAAACCGCUUUCAGGAGGGACGAAGCCACUCGGGUUAAUAGCCCAGAGGGUGACGGUACCUCCAGAAGAAGCCCCGGCUAACUACGUGCCAGCAGCCGCAGUAACAC